UCUUAUGGCCAUACCACCCUGAGAAUGCCCAAUCUCGGAAGCUGAACAGGUUUGGGCCUGGUAAGUACUUGGAUGGGAGACCAUCUGGGAACACCAGGUGCUGUAAGCG
ensembl:rRNA 5S_rRNA 5S ribosomal RNA